rnacentral:lncRNA from 1 species
CUAUAUUAAAAAAAAAAUUAUUUCCUAAUUACUCGGUUAUUUUUAAACCUAUGAUUGUAA